UGAGGAAUAUUGGUCAAUGGACGCAAGUCUGAACCAGCCAUGCCGCGUGGAGGAUGAAGGUCCUCUGGAUUGUAAACUCCUUUUAUAAAAGAAGAAACCCCGGUAUUCUUACCGGGUUGACGGUACUUUAUGAAUAAGCACCGGCUAACUCCGUGCCAGCAGCCGCGGUAAUACGGAGGGUGCAAGCGUUAUCCGGAUUCACUGGGUUUAAAGGGAGCGUAGGUGGGUUGGUAAGUCAGUGGUGAAAUCC
rnacentral:rRNA from 1 species